UAGCUGCGGCGGUACAUGGCUCCCGGAAGGCCGCGGCCUGCUCCGCGCCUGCUAAAUAACCGGGCCGGCCGCGCUGGGACGUUCCAGAGCCGGUUUUAAAGGCGUUACAAUUAUAACAUGUUGCUGAGGCAGUCUCAGGCUUUCAUGGCCAAGUGGAGGAGAGCACAAUAAUCCCACUGGAAAGAAAUGCAUCCCAGAAAAAGACCAAAGGACGAAGAAAACAUUGUUUCCAUAUAAUGCAGUGCAACGAGUAUUUUUCAGACUAUCUACUAAUAAGCCAGAUGGGGUGAUGUAUCCAUCUACUCUGUUAAUAGUUGAACAAGGUGAUGUUUCUCCUGUCAAGAAAUAAAACAUGUCAUAGACUGUAAUCUUCCUCCCAGCUUGCUUUUAGUCAGCAAACUAGAACAGUAGUUUACAUUGGCAUGUAAGCUGUUUUAUGCUGUGGUAACAGUACCCCAGUGUUAGGGGUGUAAACAACAAAGAUUUGCUUACUGCUCCUGAGAUGCAUCUGUCUGGAGUUAGCUAUAACCUUUGCCCUGCGUACUUACUGAAGUAGCUACUGUUUUUGAGUACUUGUAUGCGUCUUAGAGAAAGAACGGCACUAUGGCUGGUUUUGAACAUUUCCAGACAAUAUCAGUGGAGCCAAAGCAAAUACUUGGCCCCACUUAAUUCCAAGAGCACGACUAAGUUAACAGAAGAGAUGAGAGCUGGUCCUACAUCAACAACCCAAAGAUUGUAUGCUGGUAAGCAAUCAAAAGGAACAGAGCUUCAUCAUUGUCAGGAGCCGCGGUGAGCAUGACAACAUUCACCAUUACAAGAUGGCGCGGACAU